GGGGGACCAUCCUCCAAGGCUAAAUACUCCUGACUGACCGAUAGUGAACCAGUACCGUGAGGGAAAGGCGAAAAGAACCCCGGCGAGGGGAGUGAAACAGAACCUGAAACCGUGUACGUACAAGCAGUGGGAGCACAGGUUUACCUGUGUGACUGCGUACCUUUUGUAUAAUGGGUCAGCGACUUAUAUUCUGUAGCAAGGUUAACCGAAUAGGGGAGCCGGAGGGAAACCGAGUCUUAAUUGGGCGUUAAGUUGCAGGGUAUAGACCCGAAACCCGGUGAUCUAGCCAUGGGCAGGUUGAAGGUUGGGUAACACUAACUGGAGGACCGAACCGACUAAUGUUGAAAAAUUAGCGGAUGACCUGUGGCUGGGGGUGAAAGGCCAAUCAAACCGGGAGAUAGCUGGUUCUCCCCGAAAGCUAUUUAGGUAGCGCCUCGUGAAUUCAUCUCCGGGGGUAGAGCACUGUUUCGGCUAGGGGGCCAUCCCGGCUUACCAACCCGAUGCAAACUGCGAAUACCGGAGAAUGUUAUCACGGGAGACACACGGCGGGUGCUAACGUCCGUCGUGAAGAGGGAAACAACCCAGACCGCCAGCUAAGGUCCCAAAGUCAUGGUUAAGUGGGAAACGAUGUGGGAAGGCCCAGACAGCCAGGAUGUUGGCUUAGAAGCAGCCAUCAUUUAAAGAAAGCGUAAUAGCUCACUGGUCGAGUCGGCCUGCGCGGAAGAUGUAACGGGGCUAAACCAUGCACCGAAG
rnacentral:rRNA from 1 species